ACGAACGCUGGCGGCGUGCCUAACACAUGCAAGUCAACUUGACUGAAGGAGCAAUCUGACAGUAGAGUGGCGCAAGGGUGCGUAACGCGUAAGUAACUUGCCCAAGGUAAGGAAUAACGUCGAGAAUCGGCGCUAAUACCUCAUAAUGCAGCGGAUCCGCAUGGAUAUGUUGUUAAAGGUUUACCGCCUUGGGAUAGGCUUGCGUCUGAUUAGCUAGUUGGUGUGGUAACGGCACACCAAGGCUACGAUCAGUAACUGGUCUGAGAGGAUGAUCAGUCACACUGGAACUGAGACACGGUCCAGACUCCUACGGGAGGCAGCAGUGAGGAAUAUUGGGCAAUGCUCGAAAGAGUGACCCAGCAACGCCGCGUGGAGGAUGAAGGUAUUCUAUAUCGUAAACUCCUGUGAGAGCAGACGAAAGACAGAUUAUUAAUCUGGAUGACUGUAUGCUCAGAGGAAGCCCCGGCUAACUACGUG
rnacentral:rRNA from 1 species